rnacentral:rRNA from 2 species
AAUACAUGCAAGUCGAGCGGACCGACGGGAGCUUGCUCCCUUAGGUCAGCGGCGGACGGGUGAGUAACACGUGGGUAACCUGCCUGUAAGACUGGGAUAACUCCGGGAAACCGGGGCUAAUACCGGAUGCUUGAUUGAACCGCAUGGUUCAAUCAUAAAAGGUGGCUUUCAGCUACCACUUACAGAUGGACCCGCGGCGCAUUAGCUAGUUGGUGAGGUAACGGCUCACCAAGGCGACGAUGCGUAGCCGACCUGAGAGGGUGAUCGGCCACACUGGGACUGAGACACGGCCCAGACUCCUACGGGAGGCAGCAGUAGGGAAUCUUCCGCAAUGGACGAAAGUCUGACGGAGCAACGCCGCGUGAGUGAUGAAGGUUUUCGGAUCGUAAAACUCUGUUGUUAGGGAAGAACAAGUACCGUUCGAAUAGGGCGGUACCUUGACGGUACCUAACCAGAAAGCCACGGCUAACUACGUGCCAGCAGCCGCGGUAAUACGUAGGUGGCAAGCGUUGUCCGGAAUUAUUGGGCGUAAAGCGCGCGCAGGCGGUUUCUUAAGUCUGAUGUGAAAGCCCCCGGCUCAACCGGGGAGGGUCAUUGGAAACUGGGGAACUUGAGUGCAGAAGAGGAGAGUGGAAUUCCACGUGUAGCGGUGAAAUGCGUAGAGAUGUGGAGGAACACCAGUGGCGAAGGCGACUCUCUGGUCUGUAACUGACGCUGAGGCGCGAAAGCGUGGGGAGCGAACAGGAUUAGAUACCCUGGUAGUCCACGCCGUAAACGAUGAGUGCUAAGUGUUAGAGGGUUUCCGCCCUUUAGUGCUGCAGCAAACGCAUAAGCA